UACGGAGGGGGCAAACGUUGUUCGGAAUUACUGGGCGUAAAGGGUGCGUAGGCGGCUUAGUAAGUCUGGUGUAAAAUCUCCUCGCUCACCGAGGAACCUGCACUAGAUACUGCUAAGCUCGAGGGUGGGAGAGGCAGGUGGAAUUCCUGGUGUAGCGGUGGAAUGCGUAGAUAUCAGGAAGAACACUCGUGGCGAAGGCGGCCUGCUGGACCACUCCUGACGCUGAAGCACGAAAGCCAGGGGAGCGAACGGG
rnacentral:rRNA from 1 species